rnacentral:rRNA from 1 species
UUAGAGUUUGAUCAUGGCUCAGGACGAACGCUGGCGGCGUGCUUAACACAUGCAAGUCGAACGAACUCCAACCAGUGGCAACACUGGGGAAGAGUUAGUGGCGAACGGGUGAGUAACACGUGAGCAACCUGCCUCGAAGACUGGGAUAACAGCGGGAAACCGCUGCUAAUACCGGAUACCCCCAUCGGAUCGCAUGGUCUGAUGAGGAAAUGAAUUUCGCUUCGAGAGGGGCUCGCGGGCUAUCAGCUUGUUGGUGGGGUAACGGCCCACCAAGGCUACGACGGCUAGCUGGUCUGAGAGGACGACCAGCCACACUGGGACUGAGACACGGCCCAGACUCCUACGGGAGGCAGCAGUGGGGAAUCUUGCGCAAUGGGCGAAAGCCUGACGCAGCAACGCCGCGUGCGGGAUGACGGCCUUCGGGUUGUAAACCGCUUUCAGCAGGGACGAAAUUGACGGUACCUGCAGAAGAAGCCCCGGCCAACUACGUGCCAGCAGCCGCGGUAG